rnacentral:rRNA from 1 species
GAUGAACGCUGGCGGCGUGCUUAACACAUGCAAGUCGAACGAUGAAGCCCAGCUUGCUGGGUGGAUUAGUGGCGAACGGGUGAGUAACACGUGAGUAACCUGCCCUUAACUCUGGGAUAAGCCUGGGAAACUGGGUCUAAUACCGGAUAGGAGCGUCCACCGCAUGGUGGGUGUUGGAAAGAUUUAUCGGUUUUGGAUGGACUCGCGGCCUAUCAGCUUGUUGGUGGGGUAAUGGCUCACCAAGGCGACGACGGGUAGCCGGCCUGAGAGGGUGACCGGCCACACUGGGACUGAGACACGGCCCAGACUCCUACGGGAGGCAGCAGUGGGGAAUAUUGCACAAUGGGCUCAAGCCUGAUGCAGCGACGCCGCGUGAGGGAUGACGGCCUUCGGGUUGUAAACCUCUUUCAGUAGGGAAGAAGCGAAAGUGACGGUACCUGCAGAAGAAGCACCGGCUAACUACGUG